UAACUAUAAAUUUAAGUCUUCAAAUUAUUUAACAUAUUAAAAAUAUAAUCCUGAAUGAGUAAUAUCCCCAUGUGAUUUAGGGAGGCAAUUAUCUCACAAAAAUCUGUCUGAUAAAAAUUUUAACAACAAAAGUAGAAGCGACUCUCAGAUCUUUGGACCUUAGUACGGUGAAAUGCAUUAUCGUUGUUAAUAUUUUAUAUGUACUACUUAAAGUAGAAUACAUACUGAUAAAAUAUUUUCCUUGGAUUGUUUUAUGCCACUCAUCAGACCAAGAGUGUUUGAAUAGCCUAUGUGUGAUGUAUGCCCCAAAAUGUUCUAGAACACUGCCAUCCACUAGAAUUUUCUGUGAUGAUGGAAAUUUGCUCUAUCUCUGCUUUCCAGAAGGGAAGUCAUUUGCCACAUGUAGCUACUGAGCACUUGAAAUGAGAAAGCUGUCAAAAACAACAACAACAAAGAAAUUAGUGAUGAAUGAGACAAGGCAAGAGAUGGAGCUACCUAGAGAAAACCCUCAAGUUUCUUGCUUUGGUGACAAGGUCGAUGAUUGUGCUACCGGUAUGAUAAAAGGCAUCAGAGAAGGAGGUAUUGUGUGAUGGGAAUGGGGG
rnacentral:lncRNA from 1 species